ACCAUAAUUUGAUUUUUAGUUUUACGGAUCCGCCGACUCUAAAAAUUUGCAUUUCAAAAAAAAAAUAAAAUCGGAAUUUUUCAAUCCGCUCGUGUCAAACCUGUGUUUUAUAAAAGCAAAUCAGUCAGAAACGUAAAAAAAAAACACAUGUGCAGAAUGGUAGAAGAAGGUGAGCUGUCAACUUUGAUUUUAUCGAGAGUCUACCAAUUCUGAAACCUCCCCAUCGCAUGUCUCUCUCUAUUUUUUUAAUUGCUGUUUCUACCGAUUUCGAAAAUAUCCGGAUUUUUUACCUUCUUCGAUUUGUAAAAUACCGACAAGUCAAAACAAAAAUGGCUGUCAUGCAGUGUUUACCGGUAGCUAAUCUGCUUAUUGCCACUGAUAACAGGUAAUAAUCAAGGUGUCAACUGUGCUACCAGAUGUAAUUGCAGUUCUAAUUGCUCAUUAUCCUCAUAAAAAGUGUUUUUUAUCAAAGACAGAGAUACCAGAUGUGGAAAUUUUGCAAAAAAGGGCGAGGAAAUGAAAGCAAGUACAUGGUAACUAAUAAAGAGUCUGCAGAGGGAACACUGCGUAUUAUGAGAUUCAGUGACUUAGCAAAUCCUACAUCAACACCAGUAUAUAAAAGCCCUUGAAACUGCAGAGCAACUUGACAGUACCUGUAGAAGACUUCUUUGAAUUUAAGUAGCUAAACAGGAUCUUUAUUAAAUCCAGGAAACAGUUCUCUUGCUCCUUAUAAUGAGAAAAAUCCUUUCAUCCAUCAGUUGAAAGCUGGAAACUCAGACCAUCUGCAGCAGAAUUUUAUUAAUUCAUUUAAUUGCCAAGUUAAACUUCGAUAUUUACCCUGAAUAUUAUUCAAAUGACACUCAAAUGAAUGUGCAAACUAUACAGUGAAGAACAUAAUUAAAUUUAUAUAAUUUCAAAUAUUAAAUGGUACUCAUAUUAAACAAUGUUUGAAUUAAAAGUUGUCAUUUUUAUAAAUAACAACAUUUAUACAAGUAAUGUGUAUUAA